rfam:Triticum aestivum genome assembly, contig: Triticum_aestivum_CS42_TGACv1_scaffold_499984_6BL
GUGGUACUCCCUCCGUCCAGAAAUACUUGUCAUUGAGAUGGAUGUAUAUAUAUGUAUUUUAGUUGUAGAUACAUCCAUAUAUAUUCAUUUUGAUGAUAAGUAAUUCCGGACGGAGGGAGUAGUAU